GGGGCUAUAGCUCAGCUGGGAGAGCGCUUGCAUGGCAUGCAAGAGGUCGCCGGUUCGAUCCCGGCUAGCUCCA
rfam:Gammaproteobacteria bacterium RIFCSPHIGHO2_12_FTLL_45_12 rifcsphigho2_12_scaffold_1728, whole genome shotgun sequence.